rnacentral:rRNA from 1 species
CAGCAGCCGCGGUAAUACGAAGGGGGCUAGCGUUGUUCGGAUUUACUGGGCGUAAAGGGCGCGUAGGCGGGCGAUUAAGUCAGAGGUGAAAUCCCAAGGCUCAACCUUGGAACUGCCUUUGAUACUGGUUGUCUUGAGUCCGGGAGAGGUGAGUGGAACUGCGAGUGUAGAGGUGAAAUUCGUAGAUAUUCGCAAGAACACCAGUGGCGAAGGCGGCUCACUGGCCCGGUACUGACGCUGAGGCGCGAAAGCGUGGGGAGCAAACAGGAUUAGAUACCCCCGUAGUCCCUGUCUCUAUACC